rnacentral:rRNA from 1 species
UACGAAGGGGGCUAGCGUUGCUCGGAAUCACUGGGCGUAAAGCGCACGUAGGCGGAUUGUUAAGUCAGGGGUGAAAUCCUGGAGCUCAACUCCAGAACUGCCUUUGAUACUGGCGAUCUCGAGUCCGGGAGAGGUGAGUGGAACUGCGAGUGUAGAGGUGAAAUUCGUAGAUAUUCGCAAGAACACCAGUGGCGAAGGCGGCUCACUGGACCGGCAUUGACGCUGAGGUGCGAAAGCGUGGGGAGCAAACAGG